rnacentral:rRNA from 1 species
AGCGUACACGGUGGAUGCCCUGGCAGUCAGAGGCGAUGAAGGACGUGCUAAUCUGCGAAAAGCGCCGGCGAGGUGAUAUGAACCCUUGACCCGGCGAUGUCCGAAUGGGGAAACCCAGUGCAAUUCGUUGCACUAUCGUUAACUGAAUACAUAGGUUAACGAGGCGAACCGGGGGAACUGAAACAUCUAAGUACCCCGAGGAAAAGAAAUCAACCGAGAUUCCCCCAGUAGCGGCGAGCGAACGGGGAGCAGCCCGGAGUCUGAAUCAGCUUGUGUGUUAGUGGAACGGUCUGGAAAGUCCGACGGUACAGGGUGAUAGUCCCGUACACGAAAGCACACAUGCUGUGAACUCGAAGAGUAGGGCGGGACACGUGGUAUCCUGUCUGAAUAUGGGGGGACCAUCCUCCAAGGCUAAAUACUCCUGACUGACCGAUAGUGAACCAGUACCGUGAGGGAAAGGCGAAAAGAACCCCGGCGAGGGGAGUGAAAAAGAACCUGAAACCGUGUACGUACAAGCAGUGGGAGCCUCUUUAUGGGGUGACUGCGUACCUUUUGUAUAAUGGGUCAGCGACUUAUAUUCUGUAGCAAGGUUAACCGUAUAGGGGAGCCGAAGGGAAACCGAGUCUUAACUGGGCGUUAAGUUGCAGGGUAUAGACCCGAAACCCGGUGAUCUAGCCAUGGGCAGGUUGAAGGUUGGGUAACACUAACUGGAGGACCGAACCGACUAAUGUUGAAAAAUUAGCGGAUGACCUGUGGCUGGGGGUGAAAGGCCAAUCAAACCGGGAGAUAGCUGGUUCUCCCCGAAAGCUAUUUAGGUAGCGCCUCGUGAACUCAUCUUCGGGGGUAGAGCACUGUUUCGGCUAGGGGGCCAUCCCGGCUUACCAACCCGAUGCAAACUACGAAUACCGAAGAAUGUUAUCACGGGAGACACACGGCGGGUGCUAACGUCCGUCGUGAAGAGGGAAACAACCCAGACCGCCAGCUAAGGUCCCAAAGUCAUGGUUAAGUGGGAAACGAUGUGGGAAGGCACAGACAGCCAGGAUGUUGGCUUAGAAGCAGCCAUCAUUUAAAGAAAGCGUAAUAGCUCACUGGUCGAGUCGGCCUGCGCGGAAGAUGUAACGGGGCUAAACCAUGCACCGAAGCUGCGGCAGCGACACUAUGUGUUGUUGGGUAGGGGAGCGUUCUGUAAGCCGUUGAAGGUGUGCUGUGAGGCAUGCUGGAGGUAUCAGAAGUGCGAAUGCUGACAUAAGUAACGAUAAAGCGGGUGAAAAGCCCGCUCGCCGGAAGACCAAGGGUUCCUGUCCAACGUUAAUCGGGGCAGGGUGAGUCGACCCCUAAGGCGAGGCCGAAAGGCGUAGUCGAUGGGAAACAGGUUAAUAUUCCUGUACUUGGUGUUACUGCGAAGGGGGGACGGAGAAGGCUAUGUCAGCCGGGCGACGGUUGUCCCGGUUUAAGCAUGUAGGCGGAGGUUCCAGGUAAAUCCGGUACCUUUUAACGCUGAGGUGUGAUGACGAGGCACUACGGUGCUGAAGUGAUAAAUGCCCUGCUUCCAGGAAAAGCCUCUAAGCAUCAGGUAACACGAAAUCGUACCCCAAACCGACACAGGUGGUCAGGUAGAGAAUACCAAGGCGCUUGAGAGAACUCGGGUGAAGGAACUAGGCAAAAUGGUGCCGUAACUUCGGGAGAAGGCACGCUGAUGUGUAGGUGAAGCCCCUGCGGGCGGAGCUGAAAUCAGUCGAAGAUACCAGCUGGCUGCAACUGUUUAUUAAAAACACAGCACUGUGCAAACACGAAAGUGGACGUAUACGGUGUGACGCCUGCCCGGUGCCGGAAGGUUAAUUGAUGGGGUUAGCGGCAACGCGAAGCUCUUGAUCGAAGCCCCGGUAAACGGCGGCCGUAACUAUAACGGUCCUAAGGUAGCGAAAUUCCUUGUCGGGUAAGUUCCGACCUGCACGAAUGGCGUAAUGAUGGCCAGGCUGUCUCCACCCGAGACUCAGUGAAAUUGAACUCGCUGUGAAGAUGCAGUGUACCCGCGGCAAGACGGAAAGACCCCGUGAACCUUUACUAUAGCUUGACACUGAACACUGGUCCUUGAUGUGUAGGAUAGGUGGGAGGCUUUGAAGCGUGGACGCCAGUCUGCGUGGAGCCAACCUUGAAAUACCACCCUUUAAUGGCUGGUGUUCUAACGUAGACCCGUAAUCCGGGUUGCGGACAGUGUCUGGUGGGUAGUUUGACUGGGGCGGUCUCCUCCCAAAGAGUAACGGAGGAGCACGAAGGUUGGCUAAUCCUGGUCGGACAUCAGGAGGUUAGUGCAAUGGCAUAAGCCAGCUUGACUGCGAGCGUGACGGCGCGAGCAGGUGCGAAAGCAGGUCAUAGUGAUCCGGUGGUUCUGAAUGGAAGGGCCAUCGCUCAACGGAUAAAAGGUACUCCGGGGAUAACAGGCUGAUACCGCCCAAGAGUUCAUAUCGACGGCGGUGUUUGGCACCUCGAUGUCGGCUCAUCACAUCCUGGGGCUGAAGUAGGUCCCAAGGGUAUGGCUGUUCGCCAUUUAAAGUGGUACGCGAGCUGGGUUUAGAACGUCGUGAGACAGUUCGGUCCCUAUCUGCCGUGGGCGCUGGAGAAUUGAGGGGGGCUGCUCCUAGUACGAGAGGACCGGAGUGGACGCAUCACUGGUGUUCGGGUUGUCAUGCCAAUGGCACUGCCCGGUAGCUAAAUGCGGAAGAGAUAAGUGCUGAAAGCAUCUAAGCACGAAACUUGCCCCGAGAUGAGUUCUCCCUGAGACCUUGA